UGGCCUUCAGCAUGAUAGUGAAAAUACUUUUUCUUUGCCUCAGCUGCCUUUGGACCAUCUUUUUUCAGCUUGCUCUCUUUCUUUUGCUUCUUUGCAGAUUUAACCUUCUUCCUUCCAGUUGACUUUUUUUUGGAAGAAGAAGUCCACUCCACAGCAAAAAUAGUACCCCUUGAACUCUUCAAGGUACCUUUCGUAGUGA
rnacentral:lncRNA from 1 species